CUUUAUUGUUUAAGUGGCUGAGUUAUA
rnacentral:piRNA from 1 species